rnacentral:rRNA from 1 species
UACGUAGGUGGCAAGCGUUGUCCGGAAUUAUUGGGCGUAAAGCGCGCGCAGGUGGUUCCUUAAGCCUGAUGUGAAAGCCCACGGCUCAACCGUGGAGGGUCAUUGGAAACGUGGAACUUGAGUGCAGGAGAGAAGAGUGGAAUUCCACGUGUAGCGGUGAAAUGCGUAGAGAUGUGGAGGAACACCAGUGGCGAAGGCGACUCUUUGGCCUGUAACUGACACUGAGGCGCGAAAGCCAGGGGAGCAAACGGG